rnacentral:rRNA from 1 species
GAUGUCCGAAUGGGGAAACCCAGUGCAAUUCGUUGCACUAUCGUUAACUGAAUACAUAGGUUAACGAGGCGAACCGGGGGAACUGAAACAUCUAAGUACCCCGAGGAAAAGAAAUCAACCGAGAUUCCCCCAGUAGCGGCGAGCGAACGGGGAGCAGCCCAGAGUCUGAAUCAGCUUGUGUGUUAGUGGAACGGUCUGGAAAGUCCGACGGUACAGGGUGAUAGUCCCGUACACCAAAAUGCACAGGUUGUGAACUCGAAGAGUAGGGCGGGACACGUGGUAUCCUGUCUGAAUAUGGGGGGACCAUCCUCCAAGGCUAAAUACUCCUGACUGACCGAUAGUGAACCAGUACCGUGAGGGAAAGGCGAAAAGAACCCCGGCGAGGGGAGUGAAAAAGAACCUGAAACCGUGUACGUACAAGCAGUGGGAGCACCUUCGGGUGUGACUGCGUACCUUUUGUAUAAUGGGUCAGCGACUUAUAUUCUGUAGCAAGGUUAACCGUAUAGGGGAGCCGCAGGGAAACCGAGUCUUAACUGGGCGUUAAGUUGCAGGGUAUAGACCCGAAACCCGGUGAUCUAGCCAUGGGCAGGUUGAAGGUUGGGUAACACUAACUGGAGGACCGAACCGACUAAUGUUGAAAAAUUAGCGGAUGACUUGUGGCUGGGGGUGAAAGGCCAAUCAAACCGGGAGAUAGCUGGUUCUCCCCGAAAGCUAUUUAGGUAGCGCCUCGUGAACUCAUCUUCGG